AUUCUCUUCUGGAGAUCCACUCUGCUGGAGUUUCACUCAGCGAGCCCAGGGUACAGAUCCAGACUCAAGAAGAGCUUGGAUGGAGAGUUUACAGUCAAGGAGUCUCUUGCUUUGGCGUGACACUCAAGCAUUGGUGAAAUACUGCCAGAAAUGGAUCCUGCCUGACUUGUAUCAGAGGAGUCCUGACUGAAGGAGUAUGGCAAUUAUUUACUGUACAGCAUUUUUUAGGAAGUGUUUUGUUAUACAUACUUAGUUGUAACUCUUCAAUUCUUUCCCUCACUAGAAUGUUAAAAGAUGUAGUAAUCUUUUUUUUUUUUUUUUUACUUCUCUUGGGAGCUGCUCAGAAUAACUCAAACUAAAUCCUUGUGGAGAAAUGAUCUUUUUAUUACCUAUGUAGAACACCAUAAUUUUCAUGCCAAGUAAACAAGAAAGGCAGCAGCUUAUAAUCAAGUUGUAGUUUGUAGGCAGAGCAAAACAAUCACUUUCCAGCCUUGGGAAUCUGACACCCAGCUCCAACUAAAAGUCAAUGUGAUUUUCAAAGUGGUUGCACAUGUAAUAGGACCGGUGUAUUAAUAGGACCCUCAUUUUAAGAAGUAUAUUUGGCCAUCAACUCCAUGAUUUUAAAAACAUCUUGGAGUCUACACCCACAGUUCAGUGAAAUUACGCUGCAGUGUGUAACCUUGGGAUGUGGCAAGAAUUUAGCUGGGUGGGGAGAUGUUGAUGCUGGAAAGUUCAGACUGCUUUGGAGGGUGGCCAUAAAG